GAUGAACGCUAGCGGCAGGCUUAACACAUGCAAGUCGAGGGGUAACAGGAGUGCUUGCACUUGCUGACGACCGGCGCACGGGUGCGUAACGCGUAUAGAACUUACCUUUUACAGAGGGAUAGCCUUUAGAAAUGAAGAUUAAUACCUCAUAGUAUUGAGACUUGGCAUCAAGACUUAAUUAAAGAUUUAUCGGUAAAAGAUGGCUAUGCGUCCUAUUAGUUAGUUGGUAAGGUAACGGCUUACCAAGACGUCGAUAGGUAGGGGUCCUGAGAGGGAGAUCCCCCACACUGGUACUGAGACACGGACCAGACUCCUACGGGAGGCAGCAGUGAGGAAUAUUGGGCAAUGGAGGCAACUCUGACCCAGCCAUGCCGCGUGCAGGAAGACGGCCCUAUGGGUUGUAAACUGCUUUUAUACAGGAAGAAACUCUGCUACGUGUAGCAGCUUGACGGUACUGUAAGAAUAAGGACCGGCUAACUCCGUGCCAGCAGCCGCGGUAAUACGGAGGGUCCGAGCGUUAUCCGGAAUCAUUGGGUUUAAAGGGUCCGCAGGCGGUCAAUUAAGUCAGAGGUGAAAUCCCAUAGCUUAACUAUGGAACUGCCUUUGAUACUGGUUGGGAGCCGCCUAGGGUAAAACUGGUAACUAGGGCUAAGUCGUAACAAGGUAGCCGUACCGGAAGGUGCGGCUGGAACACCUCCUUUCUAGAGAAAGAUGGUGAGUGACAAAAGGAAGUUUUACUCUUUGCUGUUAAUUUUAAAAAACAAGAUAUUAAGCUAUUUAGUCUCGUAGCUCAGCUGGUUAGAGCGCUACACUGAUAAUGUAGAGGUCGGCAGUUCGAGUCUGCCCGGGACUACAAUUUUUUAAUAUUUUAAGGAAAUUCUAGAAGUUGAAGAAUUAGUUUACUAAUUACCAUUCACUAAUUACUAACUACUAGUAAAAGGGGGAUUAGCUCAGCUGGCUAGAGCGCUUGCCUUGCACGCAAGAGGUCAUCGGUUCGACUCCGAUAUUCUCCACAGAUGAAUACUUUAAAAAGUAUUCUCAAAAUUGAAGUUUGAGGAUAGCGCUUUAGCGCACUUCGAUAACUAAAAAUUUUGACUAAGUUCAUUGACAUAUUGGUAAAAUGAUAUCGUAAGAAUCAAAUAGAUAGAGAAGGUUUAGAUUUAAAUUUAAACCUAUUUAUAAAAAUAUAAAAGAGCUCGUUGUAAUAUUUAUAUUACAGCAAAAAGUACAAUAAGUUAAGUAAGGGCGUAUGGCGGAUGCCUAGGCUCUCAGAGACGAUGAAGGACGUGAUAAGCUGCGAAAAGUUACGGGGAGGGGCACAUACCUUAUAAUCCGUAAAUAU
rnacentral:misc_RNA from 1 species